rfam:Pseudomonas sp. 1 R 17 genome assembly PSEFL294_LIB5394, contig: PSEFL294_LIB5394_000021
GGCGCAGGACUUGCUAAGUAAUCACCACAGGUAACCAACGGCGGUUGCCCCUUCACGACAAAGACGUCGC